UACGAAGGGGGCUAGCGUUGCUCGGAAUCACUGGGCGUAAAGGGUGCGUAGGCGGGUCUUUAAGUCAGGGGGGAAAUCCUGGAGCUCAACUCCAGAACUGCCUUUGAUACUGAGGAUCUUGAGUUCGGGAGAGGUGAGUGGAACUGCGAGUGUAGAGGUGAAAUUCGUAGAUAUUCGCAAGAACACCAGUGGCGAAGGCGGCUCACUGGCCCGAUACUGACGCUGAGGCAUGAAAGCGUGGGGAGCAAACAGG
rnacentral:rRNA from 1 species